AGAGUUUGAUCCUGGCUCAGGAUGAACGCUAGCUACAGGCUUAACACAUGCAAGUCGAGGGGCAGCAUGACCUAGCAAUAGGUUGAUGGCGACCGGCGCACGGGUGAGUAACACGUAUCCAACCUACCGGUUAUUCCGGGAUAGCCUUUCGAAAGAAAGAUUAAUACCGGAUAGUAUAACGAGAAGGCAUCUUUUUGUUAUUAAAGAAUUUCGAUAACCGAUGGGGAUGCGUUCCAUUAGUUUGUUGGCGGGGUAACGGCCCACCAAGACAUCGAUGGAUAGGGGUUCUGAGAGGAAGGUCCCCCACAUUGGAACUGAGACACGGUCCAAACUCCUACGGGAGGCAGCAGUGAGGAAUAUUGGUCAAUGGACGAGAGUCUGAACCAGCCAAGUAGCGUGAAGGAUGACUGCCCUAUGGGUUGUAAACUUCUUUUAUAUGGGAAUAAAGUGAGCCACGUGUGGCUUUUUGUAUGUACCAUACGAAUAAGGAUCGGCUAACUCCGUGCCAGCAGCCGCGGUAAUACGGAGGAUCCGAGCGUUAUCCGGAUUUAUUGGGUUUAAAGGGAGCGUAGGCGGACUAUUAAGUCAGCUGUGAAAGUUUGCGGCUCAACCGUAAAAUUGCAGUUGAUACUGGUCGUCUUGAGUGCAGUAGAGGUAGGCGGAAUUCGUGGUGUAGCGGUGAAAUGCUUAGAUAUCACGAAGAACUCCGAUUGCGAAGGCAGCACACUAAGCCGUAACUGACGUUCAUGCUCGAAAGUGUGGGUAUCAAACAGGAUUAGAUACCCUGGUAGUCCACACAGUAAACGAUGAAUACUCGCUGUUUGCGAUAUACAGUAAGCGGCCAAGCGAAAGCGUUAAGUAUUCCACCUGGGGAGUACGCCGGCAACGGUGAAACUCAAAGGAAUUGACGGGGGCCCG
rnacentral:rRNA from 1 species